rnacentral:rRNA from 1 species
UGAACGCUAGCGACAGGCUAACACAUGCAAGUCGAGGGCAUCACGGGAGUAGCAAUACAACUGGUGGCGACCGGCGCACGGGUGAGUAACGCGUAUGCAACCUACCUAUCAGAGGGGAAUAACCCGGCGAAAGUCGGACUAAUACCGCAUAAAACAGGGGCACCGCAUGGUGAUAUUUGUUAAAGAAGUUCGCUGAUAGAUGGGCAUGCGUUCCAUUAGGUAGUUGGUGAGGUAACGGCUCACCAAGCCGACGAUGGAUAGGGGAACUGAGAGGUUGGUCCCCCACACUGGUACUGAGACACGGACCAGACUCCUACGGGAGGCAGCAGUGAGGAAUAUUGGUCAAUGGGCGGGAGCCUGAACCAGCCAAGUCGCGUGAAGGAAGAAGGAUCUAUGGUCCGUAAACUUCUUUUGCAGGGGAAUAAAGUGCAGGACGUGUCCUGUUUUGUAUGUACCCUGAGAAUAAGGAUCGGCUAACUCCGUGCCAGCCGCCGC